AGUCGUACGGCAGCACAAUAUGGGGCAACCUAUAGAGGUGGCGAGUGGCGGACGGGUGAGUAAUGCGUAGGAAUUUACCUUGGUGAGGGGGAUAACUCCGGGAAAUCGGAGCUAAUUCCACAUGAUGUUGUGAGACCAAAAGCAGGGGAUCCGAAAGGACCUUGCGCACUGAGAUGAGCUUACGUCGGAUUAGCCAGUUGGUGGGGUAAAGGCCUACCAAAGCGACGAUCCGUAGCGGGCCUAAAUAGGGUGACCCGCCACACUGGGACUGAGACACGGCCCAGACUCCUACGGGAGGCAGCAGUGGGGAAUAUUGGACAAUGGGGGGAACCCUGAUCCAGCAAUACCGCGUGUGUGAAGAAGGCCUAAGGGUUGUAAAGCACUUUAGGAGAGAAAGAAGCAGGCUGUGCUAAUAUCGCAGUUUGUUGACGGUACUCUCAGAAUAAGCACCGGCUAACUCUGUGCCAGCAGCCGCGGUAAGACAGAGGGUGCGAGCGUUAAUCGGAAUGACUGGGCGUAAAGGGCGUGUAGGUGGCUAUUUAGGUUUGGUGUGAAAGCCCCCGGCUCAACCGGGGAAGUGCGCCAAAUACCGGGUGGCUAGAGUAAAAGAGAGGGCUACGGAAUUUCCGGUGUAGCGGUGAAAUGCGUAGAUAUCGGAAGGAACACCAGAGGCGAAGGCGGUAGCCUGGCUUUUAACUGACACUG
rnacentral:rRNA from 1 species